UCUCACUACUGCACUUGACUAGUC
rnacentral:piRNA from 5 species